rnacentral:rRNA from 1 species
AACGAACGCUGGCGGCAGGCCUAACACAUGCAAGUCGAGCGAGAACGGUUCUUCGGAACUUAUUAGAGCGGCAGACGGGUGCGUAACACGUGGGAAUCUACCUAAUUCUAAGGAAUAGCCAUUGGAAACGAUGAUUAAUACCUUAUGUGCUCUACGGAGUAAAGAUUUAUCGGAAUUAGAUGAGCCCGCGCCUGAUUAGUUUGUUGGUGGGGUAAUGGCCUACCAAGACUACGAUCAGUAGCUGAUCUUAGAGGAUGAUCAGCCACACUGGAACUGAGACACGGUCCAGACUCCUACGGGAGGCAGCAGUGGGGAAUAUUGCACAAUGGGCGAAAGCCUGAUGCAGCCAUGCCGCGUGUGUGAUGACGGCCUUAGGGUUGUAAAGCACUUUUAGUAGGGAGGAAAAUGACGUUACCUACAGAAAAAGCCCCGGCUAACUUCG